rnacentral:rRNA from 1 species
UACGUAGGGUGCGAGCGUUGUCCGGAAUUACUGGGCGUAAAGAGCUCGUAGGUGGUUUGUCGCGUUGUUCGUGAAAACUCACAGCUUAACUGUGGGCGUGCGGGCGAUACGGGCAGACUUGAGUACUGCAGGGGAGACUGGAAUUCCCGGUGUAGCGGUGAAAUGCGCAGAUAUCGGGAGGAACACCGGUGGCGAAGGCAGAUCUCUGGGCCGUAACUGACGCUGAGGAGCGAAAGCAUGGGGAGCGAACAGG